AACGGCUGAACCAGCAAUUUGGGUGAACGGAAAAGCAUUUUGUGGUAACAGAUGUAGUUUUUUUUGGCUUUUUAGUCAACUAUCUUGAAUAGAGCCGUUAGUUCUAUGGGUAGAAAAGUUAACGCUUUUUUUGUAAGCUUCGGCUUUUAGCGAUUUAUUCGCAUAAAGUUCUAUAUAGAAUACAGAUGAUGACUAUUUUCUAUAUAAAAGUCUUGACUAAAACACGUGCCAGCAGUCGCGGUAACACGGGACAGACGAGUGUUAUUCAUCUUUAAUAGGUUUAAAGGGUACCUAGACGGUAGAUUCAACCCCUAGAUUAAGAAAGGUACGUAUCUGCUAGAGUUUUAUGUGAGAGGUUUUUAGUACUAGCAGAGUAGAGAUGAAAUUCUUUGAUACUGUAGGGCACUGAUAACGGCGAAGGCAGACCUUUAUGUAAAAACUGACGUUGAGGGACGAAGGCUUGGGUAACAAACAGGAUUAGGUACCCUAAUAGUCCAGGCAGAGACUGAUGAGUGCCAUAGAUUAGAUAUAUUUGGUCUAUAAAUGAAAGUGUAAGCACUCCACCUUAAGAGUAAUGCGGCAACGCAGGAACUGAAAUCAUUAGACCGUUUCUGAUACCAGUAGUGAAGUAUGUUGUUUAAUUCGAUAACCCACGAAAAAUCUUACCACAGUUUGUAUAUUAUAGUAUUUAUAGGUUAUUACUAAUAAUACAGGUGUUGCAUGGCUGUCUUCAGUUGAUGUCGUGAGACGCAGGUUAGAUCCGGAAAUCAACGUGUAACCCGUACUUUAUUUUGUCUAAAAUAGAGUAGUUUCUCUGGCAUAUUGGAACGAUAACUGGGACCAAGACAAGUCCUCAUGG
rnacentral:rRNA from 1 species